rnacentral:piRNA from 1 species
UCGCUUCACCACAUCGUAACU